rnacentral:rRNA from 1 species
ACAAGCGGAGGAGCAUGUGGUUAAUUUCGAUGAUACGCGAGGAACCUUACCUGGGCUCGAACGUAAGAUGACUGUAGGUGAAAGCUUACAUCUCUUCGGAGCAUUUUACGAGGUGCUGCAUGGUUGUCGUCAGCUCGUGCCGUGAGGUGUCGGGUUAAGUCCCAUAACGAGCGCAACCCCUACCUUUAGUUGCCAUCAGGUUAAGCUGGGGACUCUAAAGGAACUGCCUACGCAAGUAGUGAGGAAGGCGGGGAUGACGUCAAAUCAGCACGGCCCUUACGUCCAGGGCUACACACGUGCUACAAUGGCCGAUACAGAGGGCAGCUACCUGGUGACAGGAUGCAAAUCUCCAAAGUCGGUCUCAGUUCGGAUCGGAGUCUGCAACCCGACUCCGUGAAGUUGGAUUCGCUAGUAAUCGCGCAUCAGCCAUGGCGCGGUGAAUACGUUCCCGGGCCUU